UGUGCCGUUAGGGCCCAAGUGGAGAGGUCCUUAUGUUGUUCUUCUGUCUACCCCUACAGCGAUAAAAGUAGCCGAAGUGACUCCGUGGAUACAUCACUCCAGGGUUAAACCAGCAGCAGCCGAUUCCUGGCAAGUUACAGCAAAUCCAGAGAAUCCCUGCAAGAUCCGGUUAAAACGCACGACUCAGUCGGAGUGACGGGGAAUCUUGUGGAUUGCAAAUUUUAUUGUUUCAGAGACUUGGUAAGUGAGUGAGAAGGCCAUAAUAAAGCCUGUCCACUCACCAACGAGUGUAUAAGUCAGGGAAAGUCUUGAGGGGACCCCUGUGAAGAUGAGCAGAACUCCAUUCCCUGCAGACCUUACAUCCUGGAAGCUGAGGUGCCUUCGCAC